GAAAACAAAGAUAUAAUACGAACAUUGUAUUCUGGCUCUGUACACCAUCAACAGCAUAAACAAUAAUUAGCAACUAUAUCAUGAAAAAUUUGAACCAAAUGAGCUAUAGAAAGAGAAUACGUGCAUACAUCAGAGCAUCCAAAUGGGCAGAUAUUGAUACGCAGAAGAUUUCUUACAGUGAAUGCAUCAUGUCAUACUGAUGCCUUCAGCAGACUGAAG
rnacentral:lncRNA from 1 species